UAAUCAACUCUCUCAAACUAACAUUUAGCUUGUCAUUCUAACUGUUGCGUUUGUGAGAAACUGACUGCUUAUUUUUGUAUAUUAUAUUGAAGGAGUUAUAUACACAUAUAUAUACAGAAAUAGAGAUAAGUAGGAGAGGAGUAUGGAUGCAUGCAGAAGGAGAGAAGGUGUGUUGCAGAAGCUAAAAGUGCUGAGAUGAGAGUUAUCUCCCAACACUAACA
rnacentral:lncRNA from 1 species